UCAGUGUCAGUAUGAUGCCAGGGAGCUGCCUUCGCCAUCGGUAUUCCUCCAGAUCUCUACGCAUUUCACCGCUACACCUGGAAUUCUACUCCCCUCUCACCUACUCUAGUUAUCCAGUAUCAGAUGCAGUUCCCAGGUUAAGCCCGGGGCUUUCACAUCUGACUUAAAUAACCACCUACGCGCGCUUUACGCCCAGUAAUUCCGAUUAACGCUUGCACCCUCUGUAUUACCGCGGCUGCUGGCACAGAGUUAGCCGGUGCUUAUUCUGUGGGUAACGUCAGGGCUUAUGGGUAUUAACCAUAAGCUUUUCCUCCCCACUUAAAGUGCUUUACAACCAAAAGGCCUUCUUCACACACGCGGCAUGGCUGGAUCAGGCUUUCGCCCAUUGUCCAAUAUUCCCCACUGCUGCCUCCCGUAGGAGUCUGGGCCGUGUCUCAGUCCCAGUGUGGCUGAUCAUCCUCUCAGACCAGCUACAGAUCGUCGCCUUGGUAGGCCUUUACCCCACCAACCAGCUAAUCCGACUUAGGCUCAUCUAAUAGCGAGAGCUAAAAGCCCCCUUUCACCCGUAGGUC
rnacentral:rRNA from 1 species